rnacentral:tRNA from 1 species
GGAGGAGUGGCCGAGUGGUCGAAGGCGGCGGUCUUGAAAACCGCUGUACCGCAAGGUACCGUGGGUUCGAAUCCUACCUCCUCCG